rnacentral:misc_RNA from 1 species
UCCUAAUAUUAAGGUCACUUUAUUGUAAUGACAUUAACUGUCAUCGUGGACCACCCUGGUCUUAUUUACGGAAAUCUAUGUUUCCAACCAGGCUUCCCCCACUUUUGCCACAGGGAAGGUUAUUAAUUAUAAUAAUAUUAACUACUAUUAUGGUGGUUAGUUGAACCAUUUUCUAAAUAGUUCAUAAAAUAAAGGAUUAUUAAAUGCACCAUCACUUAACUUUAUAGUUAAAUUGCUAUGAUGACCACACUCCGUUAAUGGAGUAGUAUCACCAGUAGUAGCAUAAUGUGUACACAAUUCUACGAAUCGAUCACUAAUAACUACGUGAUCAAAAUAAGACAAACGCCUCUCCAACUCGACAACUACAGCUGACGCUAAAGCCGCGCCCAAUUCAGUGGUUGAAAGCAAUUCUUCAUCUAGUGUUUGAUAAACACUAACGAUUGUCGGAACAAUUGGAAUAUUGCCAAGUAAAAUGAUUGCAUCGACGAGUUGUAAACUUCGUGAUAAAUCAUCGGAAACGGCAGAUUCGUCUCGAUUAGUUCGUAGUAUCGCGAUCAAUUUGUCUAAAACGACGCGCAGUCUAUUACUUUGAUCGCGACGUAUUACCAACAGUAGAUUGGAUAAAUCUACAUCGGCCCAAGUAGUUUUUGGGUCGACGCAGGUGACAAUUGUUCGCAGCGUCGGCAGCCAGUAGAGAGCCGCAACCUUGACCUCUUCCAAGCUUGAAAGAGAAAAAAUUUCAACGAUGAUAUCGAUGAACAUGUUCACGAAAAUCAUUUUGUUUUAAAAUUAUGGAAAGCUUAGUAAAUUGCGAAUCGCGUUGACGAUUCAGAAGUAAAAUGAUUGUUUUUCUUCCAUAUAGAAAUCGAUCGCUUUUACAGCUGCAUCGAACAGGUCUAAACCUGCAACUUGUGUAAAGAGAGAGCGAUCUCGAUUUAACAUACGUACUAUUACGUCUGUAACUUGUUGUGAAGGAUCCAAUUGAUGAAUGACAUGAUUGUUAUUCGACGUUGUCAAAUCUACAAAGACUUGAGCCUUUUGUAAUUUUAUAUCUGAUUUAUCAUGGAUCAAUAUUAGCGCAUUAAUAGUAAAUGGAACCUCGAAUGUUGAUAAAAGAUAAUCGAUUAUCGGAUAAAUACCAAAUUCGCGGCCAAGUUCUUCAUUCUCUACUACGCCUUCGCGACUGAUUGUUCGACCUGUGAGCUUAGUUGCUGAUAAUAUGUUGGCCGAACAGGAAUAGUAGAAUUCAACCACGUUCGUAAAAUCGCUCGUAUCACGGCACUCAUAAGCUUUAUUAUGACCAAAAACUGUUGGAGAAUCGCGUGUAAUAGACUUAAUGCAUAAGUUGUUAUCUUCAUUUCUCUUCACUAAUAAAGAAACUGAAUCAAGCUCCAUGAGUUUAACUUAAGAAUCCUUCAACACCGAUUGUCGUGAAGGUAAGAAAUAAAGAUUAUGAAUGUCCCCACGACCCGACUUGACUUCGGCAAACCG